UACGGUGGGGGCAAGCGUUGUUCGGAAUUACUGGGCGUAAAGCGUGCGCAGGCGGUUAUGUAAGACAGAUGUGAAAGCCCCGGGCUCAACCUGGGAAUGGCAUUUGGGACUGCAAGGCUUGAGUGCGGCAGAGGAGACUGGAAUUCCUGGUGUAGCAGUGAAAUGCGUAGAUAUCAGGAGGAAUACCGAUGGCGAAGGCAGGUCUCUGGGCUGACACUGACGCUCAUGCACGAAAGCGUGGGGAGCAAACAGG
rnacentral:rRNA from 1 species